ACAUGUAUGGAAGUUUCCAGAGAUGGAUUCGUGCUCGAAAGAGAGCCAUAACACAGGUGCUGCAUGGCUGUCGUCAGCUCGUGUCGUGAGAUGUUGGGUUAAGUCCCGCAACGAGCGCAACCCUUGUCAUUAGUUGCUACAUUUGGUUGGGCACUCUAAUGAGACUGCCGGUGACAAACCGGAGGAAGGUGGGGAUGACGUCAAGUCCUCAUGGCCCUUAUAGGUGGGGCUACACACGUCAUACAAUGGCCGGUACAAAGGGUCGCAAACCCGCGAGGGGGAGCCAAUCCAUCAAAGCCGGUCGUAGUCCGGAUCGCAGUCUGCAACUCGACUGCGUGAAGUCGGAAUCGCUAGUAAUCGUGGAUCUGCAUGUCACGGUGAAUACGUUCCCGGGUCUU
rnacentral:rRNA from 1 species